rnacentral:rRNA from 1 species
AAGUUCCUACGGGGGGCAGCAGUGAGGAAUAUUGGUCAAUGGCCGGAAGGCUGAACCAGCCAAGCCGCGUGAGGGAGGAAGGCGCAGAGCGUCGCAGACCUCUUUUGCCGGGGGACAAAAGGCCGGACUCGUCCGGUCCUGAGGGUACCCGGAGAAAAAGCAUCGGCUAACUCCGUGCCAGCAGCCGCGGUAAUACGGAGGAUGCGAGCGUUAUCCGGAUUUACUGGGUGUAAAGGGAGCGUAGACGGAGGAGCAAGUCUGAUGUGAAAAUCCGGGGCCCAACCCCGGAACUGCAUUGGAAACUG